UCAACAUCUUAUUAUGACUAAUGAAUAGAAUCCAGAAGCUGAAGGGAGGGAGAGAAAAAGCAUAGAGAGGUGGGCUGAGAAUCAGUAUUGAUGAAAUACCACUUGGUUAAAAGUACAGACAAAAUAAUGAUUAACCCUAACCUGUUAGAUGUAGUAUUGAUAACUUUUCACAGUUUAUGUUUAAUUCUAACUCUUCAUGCCUUGACACUCCGUUGAUUUAUUUUUUUAACUUCCUGGAACAUCUUGCAGCAAAAAACAGAAAAAUGUCAAGCACGCAGCUACAGCAGUGGAAACUACUUUGAAGUUUGAAAGCAACUUGUGUAGGACAAGCUCAGGAGGGCUAUCUAACAGCAAGAGCAAUGAGAACCAUCAAAUCUCCAAGAGGCCUACAUCCCAACAGCACCAUAUAGAUAAAUACCCCCAGAAGAAAAGCUACUGCAAUUCCCCAUUGAAGACUUCCUUCUAGGCAACGAUGCUUGUAGUGACAACAAGCAAGAGAACAAAGAUUUUCAAACACUCAGUUCACUUUUUUCAUUAGAUCUAUGCCUGCAAGCUAAUCAACCACUCUGCGAUAACCAGGAAAGUCCCUUUCUGGUGUGCUCAGAAUCAUUCCCAUUCAAUCACAAAUCAAGUCUUCUCAGUCACUCUCCUGUGUGUGUUGUAUAUUGUUCAAACUCCUCCUGGAAACUUGGCCUUGACUUAGAGCUACUUAGACCAUAGGUCACCCUACCAUCACUCCAGGAAUGCUGUAUGGAAAAGAUCAGUGUGCAGCAGGGAUCUCAGCAGCCUAUGAAGCCCAGCUUCAUUUGGGCUCACCUCAGUUGUGAGAUAGCAAGAAUGUAAUAUCACUUCAGCCACUUCUUGUUUUUGCUUCUCACAAUAGCUUGCUGACUGGCACAGAUUUUACUGAAAACAAUCAACUUGAUGCUUUUUAUGUCUAUUUAAUAUAUAUUAAAGAUAAAAUUGUUGAUAUUUUAUUAACAUACUUUAUUGUCUGUGUAUUAAUAGUUUACGACGAUUUCUGUUAAACAAACAUGUAAGAUAGAAUAAUUUAUUAUGUAUUUCCCUCCAAAAUCAUUUCCAACUACAUAUUACAUACCUAAUAUUGGACAUAUAUACUCUCCCAAAUUCAAGAAGUACAUUUCUUACUUAAAUAAAAUUGCCCAUAACUAAAGAAAAAAGGCAGUGUUUCUUCUCGUUGGUUUUAAUUACAACUUUCCUUUUCCCUAUAAAAUCAUUUUAUGAUUUGAAAAUGACAUUAACUUUAUUAUGCUAUAUCAUUAUAAAGGUGAUUCCUGCUGAUGGUAAAUUUAAUUUCAAUCAUAGGAAUAGUACUUAUAGUGUCAUAUCUGUCAUCUUGAUUUAUAAUUUCUGUUUUAAAUGCCUUCUUACUUUUUUUACAUUCCAUUUGUGAUGUUAUCCACAUUAUUUUUUUAAUAUCACUAUAUACUCUGCAGACACCCACUGAUUUGAAAAAUGUAACAUUAUUUUACUUUUAUGCUUCUACCAAUACUUGUUUUUACAUCUUAUGUAAUUAUUUCUUAAUUUAUUAAUGUUAGAAUUUAAAAUAAAGCACUGCUGAUGCCUCCUUAUAAAAUAAAAUAAUUUGUUACUUA